UGCGUAGGCGGCUUUUUAAGUCGGAUGUGAAAUCCCUGAGCUUAACUUAGGAAUUGCAUUCGAUACUGGAAAGCUAGAGUAUGGGAGAGGAUGGUAGAAUUCCAGGUGUAGCGGUGAAAUGCGUAGAGAUCUGGAGGAAUACCGAUGGCGAAGGCAGCCAUCUGGCCUAAUACUGACGCUCAUGCACGAAAGCGUGGGGAGCAAACAGGAUUAGAUACCCCCGUA
rnacentral:rRNA from 1 species